rnacentral:rRNA from 1 species
CCUACGGGUGGCAGCAGUGGGGAAUAUUGCACAAUGGGGGAAACCCUGAUGCAGCGACGCCGCGUGAGUGAUGAAGGUUUUCGGAUUGUAAAGUUCUUUCGUCAGGGAAGAAUAUGACGGUAUCUCAUGAAGAAGCACCGGCUACCUACGUGCCAGCAGCCGCGGUAAUACGGAGGGGGCAAGCGUUAUCCGGAUUUACUGGGUGUAAAGGGGGCGUAGACGGCAGAAUAAGUCGGAAGUGAAAUCCCGGGGCUUAACUCCAGAACUGCAUUUGAAACUGUGACUCUAGAGUGCAGGAGAGGUAAGUGGAAGUCCUAGUGUAGCGGUGAAAUGCGUAGAUAUUAGGAGGAACACUAGUGGCGAAGGCGGCUUACUGGAAUGUAACUGACGCUGAGGCACGAAAGCGUGGGGAGCAAACAGGAUGAGAUACCCGGGUAGUC